GUAGGUGGGUAACGGCUCACCUAGGCGACGAUCCCUAGCUGGUCUGAGAGGAUGACCAGCAACACUGGAACUGAGACACGGUCCAGACUCCUACGGGAGGCAGCAGUGGGGAAUAUUGCACAAUGGGCGCAAGCCGAUGCAGCCAUGCNGCGUGUAUGAAGAAGGCCUUCGGGUUGUAAAGUACUUUCAGCGGGGAGGAAGGGAGUAAAGUUAAUACCUUUGCUCAUUGACGUUACCCGCAGAAGAAGCACCGGCUAACUCCGUGCCAGCAGCCGCGGUAUACGGAGGGUGCAAGCGUUAAUCGGAAUUACUGGGCGUAAAGCCACGCAGGCGGUUUGUUAAGUCAGAUGUGAAAUCCCCGGGCUCAACCUGGGAACUGCAUCUGAUACUGGCAAGCUUGAGUCUCGUAGAGGGGGGUAGAAUUCCAGGUGUAGCGGUGAAAUGCGUAGAGAUCUGGAGGAAUACCGGUGGCGAAGGCGGCCCCCUGGACGAAGACUGACGCUCAGGUGCGAAAGCGUGGGGAGCAACAGGAUUAGAUACCCUGGUAGCCACGCCGUAAACGAUGUCGACUUGGAGGUUGUGCCCUUGAGGCGUGGCUUCCGGANNUAAGCGUUAAGUCGACCGCCUGGGGAGUACGGCCGCAAGGUUAAAACUCAAAUGAAUUGACGGGGGCCGCACAAGCGGUGGAGCAUGUGGUUUAAUUCGAUGCAACGCGAAGAACCUUACCUGGUCUUGACAUCCACGGAAGUUUUCAGAGAUAGAAUGUGCCUUGGGAACCGUGAGACAGGUGCUGCAUGGCUGUCGUCAGCUCGUGUUGUGAAAUGUUGGGUUAAGUCCCGCAACGAGCGCAACCCUUAUCCUUUGUUGCCAGCGGUCCGGCGGGAACUCAAAGGAGACUGCCAGUGAUAAACU
rnacentral:rRNA from 1 species